rnacentral:rRNA from 1 species
UAAGGUUAAGUUAAUAAGGGCGCACGGUGGAUGCCUUGGCACUAGAAGCCGAAGAAGGAGGUGGCAUACGACGAAAUGCUUUGGGGAGCUGUAAGUAAGCGCUGAUCCAGAGAUGUCCGAAUGGGGGAACCCACUAACUAAUGGUUAGUAUCCAUAACUGUUAAGGUUAUGAGAAGGAAGACGCAGUGAACUGAAACAUCUAAGUAGCUGCAGGAAGAGAAAGCAAACGCGAUUGCCUUAGUAGCGGCGAGCGAAACGGCAGGAGGGCAAACCGAAGUGUUUACACUUCGGGGUUGUAGGACUGCGACGUGGGACUUUAAAAGGAUAGAAGAAUUACCUGGGAAGGUAAGCCAAAGAGAGUAAAAGCCUCGUAUUUAAAAUUCUUUUGAGCCCUAGCAGUAUCCUGAGUACGGCGAGACACGUGAAAUCUCGUUGGAAUCUGGGAGGACCAUCUCCCAACCCUAAAUACUCUCUAGUGACCGAUAGUGAACCAGUACCGUGAGGGAAAGGUGAAAAGCACCCCGGGAGGGGAGUGAAAUAGAACCUGAAACCGUGUGCCUACAACAAGUUCGAGCCCGUUAAUGGGUGAGAGCGUGCCUUUUGUAGAAUGAACCGGCGAGUUACGAUAUGAUGCGAGGUUAAGUUGAAGAGACGGAGCCGUAGGGAAACCGAGUCUUAAUAGGGCGAUUUAGUAUCAUGUUGUAGACCCGAAACCAUGUGACCUACCCAUGAGCAGGUUGAAGGUGAGGUAAAACUCACUGGAGGACCGAACCAGGGCACGUUGAAAAGUGCUUGGAUGACUUGUGGGUAGCGGAGAAAUUCCAAACGAACUUGGAGAUAGCUGGUUCUCUCCGAAAUAGCUUUAGGGCUAGCGUCGAUGUUAAGUCUCUUGGAGGUAGAGCACUGUUUGGGUGAGGGGUCCAUCUCGGAUUACCAAUCUCAGAUAAACUCCGAAUGCCAACGAGAUAUCAUCGGCAGUCAGACUGCGAGUGCUAAGAUCCGUAGUCGAAAGGGAAACAGCCCAGACCACCAGCUAAGGUCCCAAAAUAACUGUUAAGUGGAAAAGGAUGUGGGGUUGCACAGACAACUAGGAUGUUAGCUUAGAAGCAGCUAUUCAUUCAAAGAGUGCGUAAUAGCUCACUAGUCGAGUGACCCUGCGCCGAAAAUGUACCGGGGCUAAAACAGUUUACCGAAGCUGUGGAUGACACAAAAGUGUCAUGGUAGGAGAGCGUUCUAUGUGUGAAGAAGGUGUACCGUGAGGAGCGCUGGAACGCAUAGAAGUGAGAAUGCCGGUAUGAGUAGCGCAAGACAGGUGAGAAUCCUGUCCACCGUAAGACUAAGGUUUCCAGGGGAAGGCUCGUCCGCCCUGGGUUAGUCGGGACCUAAGGAGAGACCGAAAGGUGUAUCCGAUGGCCAACAGGUUGAUAUUCCUGUACUAGAGUAUAUAGUGAUGGAGGGACGCAGUAGGCUAACUAAACC